rnacentral:rRNA from 1 species
AUUGAACGCUGGCGGCAGGCCUAACACAUGCAAGUCGAACGGUAACAGGGAUCAGCUUGCUGAUUCGCUGACGAGUGGCGGACGGGUGAGUAAUGUCUGGGAAACUGCCUGAUGGAGGGGGAUAACUACUGGAAACGGUAGCUAAUACCGCAUAACGUCGCAAGACCAAAGAGGGGGACCUUCGGGCCUCUUGCCAUCAGAUGUGCCCAGAUGGGAUUAGCUAGUAGGUGGGGUAACGGCUCACCUAGGCGACGAUCCCUAGCUGGUCUGAGAGGAUGACCAGCCACACUGGAACUGAGACACGGUCCAGACUCCUACGGGAGGCAGCAGUGGGGAAUAUUGCACAAUGGGCGCAAGCCUGAUGCAGCCAUGCCGCGUGUAUGAAGAAGGCCUUCGGGUUGUAAAGUACUUUCAGCGGGGAGGAAGGGAGUAAAGUUAAUACCUUUGCUCAUUGACGUUACCCGCAGAAGAAGCACCGGCUAACUCCGUG